GAUGAACGCUGGCGGCGUGCCUAAUGCAUGCAAGUCGAGCGAACGGACGAGAAGCUUGCUUCUCUGAUGUUAGCGGCGGACGGGUGAGUAACACGUGGAUAACCUACCUAUAAGACUGGGAUAACUUCGGGAAACCGGAGCUAAUACCGGAUAAUAUUUUGAACCGCAUGGUUCAAAAGUGAAAGACGGUCUUGCUGUCACUUAUAGAUGGAUCCGCGCUGCAUUAGCUAGUUGGUAAGGUAACGGCUUACCAAGGCAACGAUGCAUAGCCGACCUGAGAGGGUGAUCGGCCACACUGGAACUGAGACACGGUCCAGACUCCUACGGGAGGCAGCAGUAGGGAAUCUUCCGCAAAGGGCGAAAGCCUGACGGAGCAACGCCGCGUGAGUGAUGAAGGUCUUCGGAUCGUAAAACUCUGUUAUUAGGGAAGAACAUAUGUGUAAGUAACUGUGCACAUCUUGACGGUACCUAAUCAGAAAGCCACGGCUAACUACGUG
rnacentral:rRNA from 1 species